rnacentral:lncRNA from 1 species
GGUGUCAGCCCUUCAACUCCUUUGAUGUUGCCAUCCAAUAACUCUGCUGUCAUCACAAAAACUAUUACCAGAACAUUUCCUUUAAAGCAGAAAAGGCACUUAGUCAAUGUUAAGGCCCAUCAUCUGCAAAAUAUCAACAAGCAAUCAAAAAGUACAAAAGAUCUGGAGAUCCAAAUGCUGCAGCUGGAGUGCGAAGAACUCAAAAAUCGACUACGAUGCUUAAGGGAAGGCCUGAUGGGGCAGAAGCUGAGCAACACAGAAGAGCUACUGAAACAAUCUCAGAAAGAACUGUUGUGCCUUCAGAGACAACUAUCACUUAUCUCCACAGGAAGCCCCAUGUGUGUUUUCGCAGCUAACAAGACAACUAAUGAAUCAUUUCUAGCCUGA